rnacentral:rRNA from 1 species
UGCUUAACACAUGCAAGUCGAACGAUGAGGCCCGUGCUUGCACGGGUGGAUUAGUGGCGAACGGGUGAGUAACACGUGAGUAACCUGCCCCCUUCUUUGGGAUAAGCCUGGGAAACUGGGUCUAAUACUGGAUAUGCACUGCCUGCUGCAUGGUGGGUGGUGGAAAGGUUUUUCUGGUGGGGGAUGGGCUCGCGGCCUAUCAGCUUGUUGGUGAGGUAAUGGCUUACCAAGGCGGUGACGGGUAGCCGGCCUGAGAGGGCGACCGGCCACACUGGGACUGAGACACGGCCCAGACUCCUACGGGAGGCAGCAGUGGGGAAUAUUGCACAAUGGGCGCAAGCCUGAUGCAGCGACGCCGCGUGCGGGAUGACGGCCUUCGGGUUGUAAACCGCUUUCGCCAUCGACGAAGCCUUUGGGUGACGGUAGGUGGAGAAGAAGCACCGGCUGACUACGUGCCAGCAGCCGCGGUAAUACGUAGGGUGCGAGCGUUGUCCGGAAUUAUUGGGCGUAAAGAGCUUGUAGGCGGUUUGUCGCGUCUGCUGUGAAAGCCCGGGGCUUAACUCCGGGUCUGCAGUGGGUACGGGCAGACUAGAGUGUGGUAGGGGAGACUGGAAUUCCUGGUGUAGCGGUGAAAUGCGCAGAUAUCAGGAGGAACACCGAUGGCGAAAGGCAGGUCUCUGGGCCAUUACUGACGCUGAGAAGCGAAAGCAUGGGGAGCGAACAGGAUUAGAUACCCUGGUAGUCCAUGCCGUAAACGUUGGGAACUAGGUGUGGGUCUCAUUCCACGAGGUCCGUGCCGUAGCUAACGCAUUAAGUUCCCCGCCUGGGGAGUACGGCCGCAAGGCUAAAACUCAAAGGAAUUGACGGGGGCCCGCACAAGCGGCGGAGCAUGCGGAUUAAUUCGAAGCAACGCGAAGAACCUUACCAAGGCUUGACAUACACCGGAAGCGUGCAGAGAUGUGCGUGCCUUUGGGCUGGUGUACAGGUGGUGCAUGGUUGUCGUCAGCUCGUGUCGUGAGAUGUUGGGUUAAGUCCCGCAACGAGCGCAACCCUCGUUCCAUGUUGCCAGCAGCGCCUUUUGGGUGGCUGGGGACUCGUGGGAGACUGCCGGGGUCAACUCGGAGGAAGGUGGGGAUGACGUCAAAUCAUCAUGCCCCUUAUGUCUUGGGCUUCACGCAUGCUACAAUGGCUGGUACAGAGGGUUGCGAUGCCGUGAGGUGGAGCGAAUCCCUUAAAACCGGUCUCAGUUCGGAUUGGGGUCUGCAACUCGACCCCAUGAAGUCGGAGUCGCUAGUAAUCGCAGAUCAGCAACGCUGCGGUGAAUACGUUCCCGGGCCUUGUACACACCGCCCGUCAAGUCACGAAAGUUGGUAACACCCGAAGCUCAUGGCCUAACC